rfam:Virgibacillus soli strain PL205 scaffold000046, whole genome shotgun sequence.
ACAUCUAGGUAAUCGCUGCUCAAUGCAGAGGAAAGUCCAUGCUCGCACGGUGCUGAGAUGCCCGUAGUGAUCACGCCUAGCGAAACAAUAAGCUAGGGCAACUAAGAUUUUCUUGGUUGACGGCAGGGAAAACACCUACGUUAUAUAUUCCAUAUAAUAUGGUGUUGGUACCUUUAAAGUGCCACAGUGACGUAGCUUUGUUGGAAACAACAAAGGUGGAACGAGGUAAACCCCGUGAGUGAGAAACCCAAAUUUUGGUAGGGGAACUUUUUCGCAGGAAAUGAACGAAGAAAAAGGCAAGUUUGACUUGCAGAUAGAUGAUUACCACCGGAGUACGAGAUCUGCCUAUGAUCGUUUGGAGUACGAUGGAACAGAACAUGGCUUAUAAGA